GAAUGCAUCAUUCUGUGGGAGGAGAAAGAUAAAGUGUUGUACCUUCUUCUGGAUCGUCAUCGAGUGACGCCUUCUCCUACCACUCCAGAGGCCCAUCCCUUCUCCUACCACUCCAGAGGCCCAUCCCUUCUCCUACCACUCCAGAGGCCCAUCCCAUCCCUUCUCCUACCACUCCAGAGGCCCAUCCCAUCCCUUCUCCUACCACUCCAGAGGCCCAUCCCUUCUCCUACUACUCCAGAGGUCCAUCCCAUCCCUUCUCCUACCACUCCAGAGGUCCAUCCCAUCCCUUCUCCUACCACUCCAGAGGUCCAUCCCAUCCCUUCUCCUACCACUCCAGAGGUCCCAUCCCUUCUCCUACCACUCCAGAGGUCCAUCCCAUCCCUUCUCCUACCACUCCAGAGGUCCAUCCCUUCUCCUACCACUCCAGAGGUCCAUCCCAUCCCUUCUCCUACCACUCCAGAGGUCCAUCCCAUCCCUUCUCACUCCAGAGGCCCAUCCCUUCCCAUACCACUCCAGAGGCCCAUCCCUUCUCAUACCACUCCAGAGGCCCAUCCCUUCUCAUACCACUCCAGAGGCCCAUCCCUUCUCAUACCACUCCAGAGGCCCAUCCCUUCUCCUACCAUUACAGAAGCCCAUCCCAUCCCUUCUCAUACCACUCCAGAGGCCCAUCCCUUCUCCUACCAUUACAGAAGCCCAUCCCAUCCCUUCUCCUACCACUCCAGAGGUCCAUCCCUUCUCCCACCACUCCAGAGGUCCAUCCCAUCCCUUCUCCUACCACCCCAGAGGCCCAUCCCUUCUCCUACCACCCCAGAGGCCCAUCCCUUCUCCUACCACUCCAUAAGCCCAUCCCAUCCCUUCUCCUACCACUCCAGAGGUCUAUCUCAUCCACGGUCCAGACUUCCACCAUCUAGUCGGGUUACCAGGUGCACGACCAGACUUCAUCUCUAUACUGAUAGUGGGAUUUUGCCAGACUCCCACCUGUCCGGGGUGACCUGUCCAUGA
rnacentral:lncRNA from 8 species